rnacentral:tRNA from 1 species
CGUGGGGUAGAGCAGCAUGGCAGCUCGUCAGGCUCAUAAUCUGAAGGACGUAGGUUCAAAUCCUACCCCCACAU